rnacentral:rRNA from 1 species
AACGAACGCUGGCGGCAUGCCUAACACAUGCAAGUCGAACGAGACCUUCGGGUCUAGUGGCGCACGGGUGCGUAACGCGUGGGAACCUGCCCUUAGGUUCGGAAUAACUCUCCGAAAGGGGUGCUAAUACGGGAUAAUGUCUUCGGACCAAAGAUUUAUCGCCUUGGGAUGGGCCCGCGUUGGAUUAGCUAGUUGGUAGGGUAAAAGCCUACCAAGGCGACGAUCCAUAGCUGGUCUGAGAGGAUGAUCAGCCACACUGGGACUGGGACACGGCCCAGACUCCUACGGGAGGCAGCAGUGGGGAAUAUUGGACAAUGGGCGAAAGCCUGAUCCAGCAAUGCCGCGUGAGUGAUGAAGGCCUUAGGGUUGUAAAGCUCUUUUACCCGGGAUGAUAAUGACAGUACCGGGAGAAUAAGCUCCGGCUAACUCCGUG